CCUACGGGUGGCAGCAGUGGGGAAUAUUGCGCAAUGGGCGCAAGCCUGACGCAGCGACGCCGCGUGAGGGAUGAAGGUCUUCGGAUUGUAAACCUCUGUCAGCAGGGAAGAACGGUCACUGUGCUAAUCAGCAGUGAAUUGACGGUACCUGCAAAGGAAGCACCGGCUAACUCCGUGCCAGCAGCCGAGGUAAUACGGAGGGUGCGAGCGUUAAUCGGAAUUACUGGGCGUAAAGCGCUCGUAGGUGGUAUGUCAAGUAUAGGGUGAAAUCCCCGCGCUCAACGUGGGAACUGCCUUUGAAACUGGCAAACUGGAGUGUGAGAGAGGAUAGUGGAAUUCGAGGUGUAGGAGUGAAAUGCGUAGAUAUCUGGAGGAACAGCGGUUGCGAAGGCGGCUAUCUGGCACAUAACUGACGCUGAGGAGCGAAAGCGUGGGUAGCAAACAGGAUUAGAUACCCCAGUAGUC
rnacentral:rRNA from 1 species